rnacentral:rRNA from 1 species
GGAAUCUUCCACAAUGGGCGGCAAGCCUGAUGGAGCAACACCGCGUGAGUGAAGAAGGGUUUCGGCUCGUAAAGCUCUGUUGUUAAAGAAGAACACGUAUGAGAGUAACUGUUCAUACGUUGACGGUAUUUAACCAGAAAGUCACGGCUAACUACGUGCCAA